rnacentral:lncRNA from 1 species
AAUGUAAUUAAGUAAUUUCCUUCGUAGCUAGGGUUAUCUAUAGAAGAAACUAAAUUUGAGUUGUCCAUUGAUACCGUUCUCUCCUUUUUUAACUAAUAAAAUGAGGUAUCCAACUCAUGCCAUUUUAGCUUGCCAUGUAAUAUGUCCCAUAUUUCUAUCCCAUACAUAGGUUCUGCGAGCAUUUGAAAUUGAAAUUGACCAAGUUUACGAGAUAAACAAAAGAAAAACCGUUCUAAAAACUGACCAUGACUAAUAUUGCUGCAAAUCUAAAACGAAUUUCCAUGGACUGACAUUGAAGAUGAUGAGUAAAUGUGUUGGAAAGAAAAAUCCACCUAAAACUGCAGUUUGGAUACUGCAUAGAUUGGCUAGUUUUAGAGAACUGCUCUUGAAUCAUCUGUUGGCAUUCCCUAAACAUUCUGUAGUAGCCUAAGAAAUAAAAAUUGAAGGGUAAGAAGAUAUGGGUCCACUAUUAUAUAAUAUUCUAUAUCCAUGCCGCACUCAAAAGGAGGUAUAAAGCAGUGUUAUUAUUUUGCCAUAAUGAAGGCAUUCUGCUUGGUCCACGGCUGUGAAGGCACCAUUAACAAAAAAAGAAAUUAUCACAAAAUAUUUGUUGUCUUGAUCUAUAAAAAAUUAGACGUGCAUCGCUAUGAAAACUAGAUCACUCAAAACAAAAGUGGCUUAUAAAUGUCUGCAUCCUUUUCGUCACAGCAUCACCAGGAUCGAUAUAAAUAAUAUCUGAAACAUAUGGUUUAGUUGAGGAUAUUAUCUAAUUCAUGGUGCUGCCAUUUUGUGCCAUGACCUGAUCACCUAAGCAUUUCCCAGGCCAAGUUAUUUUUGGAGGCUGGCAUCAAAUGGUGUACCGGUGUUUUUCCGCUGCCUAUCCUACCUCAUAACAGUGGCAUCAAAUGGUGUACCGGUGUUUUUCCGCUGCCUAUCCUACCUCAUAACAGUGGCAUCAAAUGGUGUACCGGUGUUUUUCCGCUGCCUAUCCUACCUCAUAACAGUCACAGAAAACCA